rnacentral:piRNA from 1 species
UGCUUAUACAGAUUUGCACAUAGUAGGUC